rnacentral:misc_RNA from 1 species
GAUGAAGAACGUAGUAAAAUGCGAUAAGUAAUGUGAAUUGCAGAAUUCAGUGAAUCAUCGAAUCUUUGAACGCACAUUGCGCCCGCCAGUAUUCUGGCGGGCAUGCCUGUUCGAGCGUCAUUUCAACCCUCAAGCUCAGCUUGGUGUUGGGACUCGCGGUAACCCGCGUUCCCCAAAUCGAUUGGCGGUCACGUCGAGCUUCCAUAGCGUAGUAAUCAUACACCUCGUUACUGGUAAUCGUCGCGGCCACGCCGUAAAACCCCAACUUCUGAAUGUUGACCUCGGAUCAGGUAGGAAUACCCGCUGAACUUAAGCAUAUCAAUAAGCGGGGA